UACGAAGGGGGCUAGCGUUGCUCGGAAUCACUGGGCGUAAAGGGUGCGUAGGCGGGUCUUUAAGUCAGGGGUGAAAUCCUGGAGCUCAACUGGGGAACUGCCUUUGAUACUGAAUGUCUCGAGUAAGGUAGGGGCAUGCGGAACUGAUGGUGGAGCGGUGAAAUGUGUUGAUAUCAUCAGGAACUCCGGUGGCGAAGGCGGCAUGCUGGACCUUCACUGACGCUGAGGCGCGAAAGCUAGGGGAGCGAACGGG
rnacentral:rRNA from 1 species